rnacentral:rRNA from 1 species
UCCCUUAGUAACGGCGAGUGAACCGGGAUGAGCUCAAAUUUAAAAUCUGGCGUCUUUCAGGCGUCCGAGUUGUAAUCUAUAGAGGCGUUUUCCGCGCCGGACCGCGUCCAAGUCUCUUGGAAUAGAGUAUCAAAGAGGGUGACAAUCCCGUACUUGACGCGACAACCGGUGCUCUGUGAUACGUUCUCAAUGAGUCGAGUUGUUUGGGAAUGCAGCUCUAAAUGGGUGGUAAAUUCCAUCUAAGGCUAAAUAUUGGCGAGAGACCGAUAGCGAACAAGUACCGUGAGGGAAAGAUGAAAAGCACUUUGGAAAGAGAGUUAAACAGCACGUGAAAUUGUUAAAAGGGAAACGAUUGAAGUCAGUCGUGUGAAAGGUAUUCAGCCGUCUCUGGCGGUGUAUUUGCCUUUCACGGGUCAACAUCAGUUUGAUCCGGUAGAAAAAGGCGGGAGGAAGGUGGCACCCUCGGGUGUGUUAUAGCCUCCUGUCAUAUGUGCCGGACCAGACUGAGGAACGCAGCUUGCCGCAAGGCCGGGGUUCGCCCACGUACAAGCUUAGGA